AUUUAAAUAGCUUAUAUUAGAGCAUAAUAUUGAAGAUAUUAUUGAGAUAAUUUUUAUCUUUAAAUA
rnacentral:tRNA from 1 species